CUGGCUCAGAGUGAACGCUGGCGGCAGGCCUAACACAUGCAAGUCGAACGGCAGCACAGAGGAGCUUGCUCCUUGGGUGGCGAGUGGCGGACGGGUGAGGAAUGCAUCGGAAUCUGCCUAUUUGUGGGGGAUAACGUAGGGAAACUUACGCUAAUACCGCAUACGUCCUACGGGAGAAAGUGGGGGACCUUCGGGCCUCACGCAGAUAGAUGAGCCGAUGCCGGAUUAGCUAGUUGGCGGGGUAAAGGCCCACCAAGGCGACGAUCCGUAGCUGGUCUGAGAGGAUGAUCAGCCACACUGGAACUGAGACACGGUCCAGACUCCUACGGGAGGCAGCAGUGGGGAAUAUUGGACAAUGGGCGCAAGCCUGAUCCAGCCAUGCCGCGUGUGUGAAGAAGGCCUUCGGGUUGUAAAGCACUUUUGUCCGGAAAGAAAAGCGCUCGAUUAAUACUCGGGUGUUAUGACGGUACCGGAAGAAUAAGCACCGGCUAACUUCGUGCCAGCAGCCGCGGUAAUACGAAGGGUGCAAGCGUUACUCGGAAUUACUGGGCGUAAAGCGUGCGUAGGUGGUUUGUUAAGUCUGAUGUGAAAGCCCUGGGCUCAACCUGGGAACUGCAUUGGAAACUGGCUUACUAGAGUGCGGUAGAGGGGUGUGGAAUUCCCGGUGUAGCAGUGAAAUGCGUAGAUAUCGGGAGGAACAUCUGUGGCGAAGGCGACACCCUGGACCAGCACUGACACUGAGGCACGAAAGCGUGGGGAGCAAACAGGAUUAGAUACCCUGGGGUACCACGCCCUAAACGAUGCGAACUGGAUGUUGGGGGCAACUUGGUUACCAGUAUCGAAGCUAACGCGUUAAGUUCGCCGCCUGGGAAGUACGGAAAAAAGACUGAAACUCAAAGGAAUUGACGGGGGCCCGCACAAGCGGUGGAGU
rnacentral:rRNA from 1 species